rnacentral:rRNA from 1 species
UACGGGGGGAGCGAACGUUGUUCGGAAUUACUGGGCGUAAAGGGCGCGUAGGCGGCUUCAUAAGUGAGAUGUGAAAGCUCCUGGCUCAACCAGGGAAAUGCGUCUCAUACUGUGAGGCUUGAGUACAGGAGAGGAUGGGGGAAUUCCCGGUGUAGCGGUGAAAUGCAUUGAUAUCGGGAGGAACACCAGUGGCGAAGGCGCCCAUCUGGCCUGUCACUGACGCUGAGGCGCGAAAGCUGGGGGAGCAAACAGG